CAAUGGGGCAGAGAAGACGGGCAUUAGACAAUCAGAGAGGGGUCAUUUUAUUGUGGUUAUUUCUGUACUUUGCCUUCUAAUUCCCUGCUGGGAGCAAAUGCACCAUUAAACAAUUUCUGCUUCUUGGGCACAGUUUGAAGGAGAAAAAAAUGCUGAAUAACUGCAAAUAACUGAAGCUGCUAGUUUUGGAAUCAGAAGCUUUGUGGUGAUGUCAAAGCAACACUAAUGUGUAAAUGUAAGAUUUAGUACUGAGGUUGCAGUAUUUCUUAGAGACCCCAGUCGUGGGCCAGGACCCCAUUGUGCUAUACAAAUGAAAUAAAAGACACUCCCUGCGCCAAGGAAUUUAUAAUCUAAGCAUGAGACAAGAGACAACAGAUUAAUACAACAGAUGGGAUGGGAUGCUUCCUGGGGGUACCCAGAGUUAUGAGGUACCUCACUACAAUUUGCCCUCAGCGUGAGGAAGCCUUGUCCGUAUCUUCUGUGGGCCAGGUCCCUGACUCCUUUGGGCAUGGACAACACAAGCACUCCCCUCUCAGAUUAUGCAGACUCUGCUGUCCCUCUGCAGGUUAGCACCUGGCAUGCUUCAAUCCUCACUCCCGCUAAGCACCCUUGUGGAGCGUCCACCCUGUUUCACUGGACACUCUCAGUAUUCACAGAUUUGUUGCUUUCAAAGGAACAGUACACCUUAGUUUACCAGUUUCACUUAAGAUCAUUGCUCUGCUUAUGACGCAGCACUUAGAUAUAUUGAUAGUGAAAACAAAAUAAAGAGAUUUGAGAAGAAGCAAGCAAAAGUAAUGGAAAGAAAUGUUUCAAUGUAAAAUAAAACCAUAAGAUGCAUUUUAUGCAUUUUAGAACCUAGAAUUAAUUAACAAGAUAUUCUCCUAAUACAGUAUAGCUCACCAGCACUGUGAUCACCAGGCCAGUGACUGGCUGUGAUCCCUCUCUCAUGAGACAUAACACACUGUCAGCUUGUCUCCUCAGUGAAAGGAUACUGUGUUUCUUUGCAACCCCAGAUACAUCAAAACAGUCCCUUUAUUCAUAACCCAGGCACCUCUUGCUGUGUGCGUCUUCCUGGAGAUUUUGCAAUCUUGAUUAGUUGGUGGCUGCAUAUGCAAAUAGGCUUACAUUGUGAGAGACACAAUGCACAAAGACAAGACAAAGAGACGCAUCUACAAUCCCCCGCCUGAACAGAACCUGAAGUGUAUCACCUUUUCAUUUCAAGGCUUUAAGAACAUAAUUUCCAGUGUAGGUACAUAACUUCUUAAAUAUUAUCCCAUCCAUAUAUUUUGCAAUGAUUCUGAUAAACAGUGGGCUAUAUGCUCUCAAUAGAGACUUUACAUGCCACCCUUUGGUGAAUUAUUAUGCACAGAUAUGACCCAGUGGAUCCCUGUAAAACUCUAUGCCCACCUGUGCCCUCUGCCCGUUGACACAAAGAAGUUCUUGGAUCAUAGGGAGCAUAAGGGAAUAAUAAGUCAAUGCUGGUCAGCAUAAUAAGCAGUAGCCUCAGCACACCAGUUAUCUUUGUGAGUGUUUAUGUGAAGCUGCUCUGAUGUAUGAAGGGCAGCAUGGAAGAAAGCAGCAAGAAGCUUGUUUGAAAACUUUAACAAGUGUGCGCUGAAGGCUGGUACCAUUGACAGGGUGGCCAUCAAUAGAAUAGGAGAGAUGCUAGGGUGGAGAUAGGCCAUGAAGGGCCUGGAUAGUGAAGAUGUGUGGUUUGUGUUUGCAGUGGAGAAGGGGAAGCCUGUGCAGGAACACAGAGAGUGGUGAUAUGACAAGCCAGGAAAAGAGUCUUUGUAGAAUUGCCUUCAAUGGAUAUGAGUGGAGCAAGACUGUAUUUGUAAAGGCCAGAGAAAAGGUUGUACUAUUUGAGCCACAAGAUGAUGGGGCCUGGACGAGAGAUUGGGCUGUGUGGGUGAUAAUGAAAGACUGUAUCUCUUUCAGGAACAAAUGGCAUGAUUCAGGUAGGGCCUGGAUGAGAGGAUCUAGGGGGAGGGCUGAGUGAUGGUAAUGUUCUUAUUUGCUAUGACACUUGAGGAUCCAUAAAUCCAUCUAAAAGACUAAUUCAGACCUCAUUAAAAUCUGAAACCAUAGUAAUAAUGUUAAAAUCCAAAAAUGUAUAAAAAUACAAACUAAGUGGUAUGGUAAGAGCCCUUUAUGGCACUGACAGCUAGCUAGCUCAGGUCACAACCUCAAAUUGGUGUUAGGUGUACCAAUUCACUUGGGCUGAUAGGCAUUGUAAUAGGAUCAAGCCAAUUCACUUAUCUCUUAGAAUAGUUCAAAGAAAUGUUUGUGAUAUUGUCCUCACAUAUCGGUAACUUGUUGAUUUGCAUUAUAUAUGUUCACCCUAUGCUUAAUUAACCCUAGAUCAGAGGUUUGUGUUAGCAUUAAGAUGAGAAUUUGCUUGCUGUGUAGCGGUCUUGAAAACUAAUGAAUAUUUUUUAUAUUGUUUUCACUUAUCUAUCUAUCAAAAUGUAAUGGCAGGUAAUUGUAUGUGUACAUGACUGUAACUGGAUUACUUGUGUAUCAUAGGAAGUAGAAUGUUAAUUUCAAAGCAAGUGGUCCUUGAUGUUGUGACUGAGGUCAAAGACCCAAAAUGCAUUCUUCAUCAAAGGAAGAGACCAUGCUCUAAUAAAUCUUUUGUUUAGUUUACUAGAGAAACUGGCUUCAGCAUUAUCUUUGGUGAGAUCUGGAAUAUACCUUGACCUGGAGGGGGUUACCCUUUAAGAAGAAAACAGAUCUGGAACUGAGAACUAUGCUCAGGGACUUUGACCAAAAAGCAAGGUCUCAGCACCCCUGACCCCAGCACGAGAUGCCGCAGACCCUGGCUGUCGAGCAAGAAUAUAAGCAUGAAAUGAAAAUGAUAGAACUCCAAAUGAAAGAGGAGCAAGCGAUCGCUAAGAUGGAGAAGGAAGCCCACCUGAGAUGCAUGGAGCAGCUAGCGGCUGAGAAAGAAGCUCAUGCAAUGCUGCUAGAAAUCCUGGACAAGCAAAAGGACCAGCCUCAGCCUUUGCGUCCAUCCCCUCUCAACAUCAGGGAAGGGGAAAAAACCUGCCCAAUUUAUCAGGAAUCUGACUGCCAUGAGGCAUUCCUAGCCACCUUUGCGAGACUGUGUACUAUCCAUAAGAUUCCAGAGAAUAAAUGGAUGCCAAUCCUGUUAAUCAGGUUGACUGGAAAAGCCAGACAGGUAUUUAAUGAAAUGGUGGUGGAGGAUGCUAUGAUAUAUAAGAACUUUGAAGAAACUAUAUGGAAAAGAUUUAAAAUCACCCCUGAGUCUUAUUUCUUGAAGUUUAGAAAUCUUAAAAUGCCUGACAAUAUAAUUUAUGUGGAAUAUAUGUAUAAACUGUGUAGUUAUGUGAAAAAAAGAAACGGAUUAUUAGGGCAGUGCUGACAGUGACUUUAAUAAGCUGUUAGGUUUGGUAAUACAAGAGCAAUUAUUAUGGGUAGUCAUUGAUGAGGUAAAAGCAGCUAUCUGUGACAAAAAACCUUAACAGUUUUAAAAGCAGCAAAAACUGCUGAUGAAUAUGUUGAGUCCAAAACUCAGAAAGGGCGCAAGCCCCAGGGAAAGGGUUAUACCUCUGCUCCUCAGGGUGAAAGGGCUGAAGGGUUUAAAAAUAAACCUAACCACAACUUUGUUAAAAAACCUCCAGGGAGCCAGAUUUGAAAACAUCUUACCACAAAGGGAAACCGGUAGUCUGUCAUCAGCGUGGGACCCUGCCCAUAUAAAGCCAAAUUGCCCAAAGCUUAAAACCACCCAACAACAUGCACCCACAACCCCCAUCAUGAGUGCCAAUGUUACAACCACAAGUGCUAACACUACUACAUUAGACACAGGGAAAAUUGUGGAGGAGAAAAGUGUCUUCAUAAAUUAUAUUAGAACUGAGUCUUGGGAAGGGAGUGAAGAAUGUAUUAAGAGUUUAUUAUUUAUGCAAGGGUAACUGGCACUGAGUGUACUGGGUGGCAGGACACAGUGUCUCAUGUCACUUUGAUUAAAGAAAGUUUUGUGAGAGGAAGAUAGAUUGCCUGGCAAAAAUAUAAAUCUUUUAGCUUUGGCUGAAUAUUCAAUGACUGUGCAUCUGGCUAAAAUCCACCUGAAGUGGGAAAGUUUUAAGGGUGAUAUUGUGAUUGGCAUUAGGAAUUUGCUACCUCCUGAUAUUUCAGUAUGCAAUAACAUUGUAACUAUGUCAAAGCAGAUUAAUGUUAUAACCAGUUUCCAGGGAAAGUGGCUGAUGUGAUUAGGCCCUGUGAUGGUGUCCCCUGAAUAGAUAUGUGGACACAGUUGGCAAUGGGCUUUGUUGCAAGGAUCGGUUCCUGGGUUAGUGGUUCU